AGCGGGGUGGAGAAGAAGUAUCUCGCGGGGCUCAUAACCCCGAGCCGUCGGUGCAAUUCCGGCCCCCGCAACCA
rnacentral:tRNA from 1 species